GGACUACUGGGGUUUCUAAUCCCGUUUGCUCCCCUGGCUUUCGCGCAUCAGCGUCAGUGGUGGUCCAGUAUGCCGCCUUCGCCACCGGAGUUCCUAUCGAUAUCAACGCAUUUCACCGCUCCACCGAUAGUUCCGCAUACCCCUACCACACUCGAGACGCCCAGUAUCCGAGGCAGUUCUCCGGUUGAGCCGGAGGAUUUCACCACGGACUUGAGCACCCGCCUACGCGCCCUUUAAGCCCAGUGAUUCCGAACAACGUUCGCUCGGUUCGUCUUACCGCGGCGGCUGGCAC
rnacentral:rRNA from 3 species